ACACUCAACACACACUCAACACACACACGAGGCAGCACAGACCGUCAGAUCACCUGCAGCCAUGGAAGGAAUGAUCUCCAAGAUGGUCGGAGAAAAAGUUGAGGAUCUGGUAGAGACCACCAUAAACAAGGCCAUGGGUAAGAAGGAGGAGGAGGAGGAGGAUAAAGGACCCAUGGAUCAGGUGAUGUCACUGGUUGGUGGAGGCGGUGAAAGCGACGGCAUCGGAGACCUCUUGAGUACGCCCGGGGGAGUGAUGGAGCAAAUCGGCGGCUUCUUUAAGUAGACGCCCUGCAGACCUCCACCUGAAACCACCGUCUCACCUCCACCUGCUGACUGCUGGACAAUCAAUGUGUUCAAUAUUUACUAAUGAUUUGUUGUUAUUUGGUUUUACAUCGUCACGUCCUCAUAACUCAUUUGGGUUGAGGACAAUAAAACUCUUGUAACUAAAUGUUUCUUACCAGUGGCCACCAGUUGGUGAUGCUCAUGUUUGUGUUUUCUUUACUGGUUUUACACCGUGAGAUGUACUAAAUAUGAUCUGUUGAAACUUUACUGAAGUGGGUUAUUAUAUGGAGAAAUGAAUAAAUCUCAGUCAUCUGGA